rnacentral:rRNA from 1 species
AGCUGGAAUCGCUAGUAAUCGCAGGUCAGCAUACUGCGGUGAAUACGUUCCCGGGUCUUGUACACACCGCCCGUCACACCAUGGGAGCCGGAAAUGCCCGAAGCCAGUGACCCAACCUUAGGGAGGGAGCUGUCGAAGGUGGAGCCGGUAACUGGGGGUGAAGUCGUAACAAGGUACC